ACUCAAAGGAAUUGACGGGGGCCCGCACAAGCAGCGGAGCGUGUGGUUUAAUUCGAUGCAACGCGAAGAACCUUACCUGGGCUUGACAUGGAGGUGGUACCAACCUGAAAGGGAAGGGACCCGCAAGGGAGCCUCUGCAGGUGCUGCACGGCUGUCGUCAGCUCGUGCCGUGAGGUGUUGGGUUAAGUCCCGCAACGAGCGCAACCCUCGCCGCUAGUUACUCUGUCUAGCGGGACCGCCGGGACCAACCCGGAGGAAGGUGGGGACGACGUCAAGUCAGCAUGGCCCUUACGUCCAGGGCUACACACACGCUACAAUGGCCAGGACAAUGGGUAGCGAGGGGGCGACCCGGAGCCAAUCCCAACAAACCUGGUCUCAGUUCGGAUUGUAGGCUGCAACUCGCCUGCAUGAAGUCGGAGUUGCUAGUAACCGCAGGUCAGCACACUGCGGUGAAUACGUUCCCGGGCCUUGCACACACCGCCCGU
rnacentral:rRNA from 1 species